AGUGACAUCACAGGAAAAACCACCAACCAGGGCCAAGGAGACCAGAGCCCAGCCCCUCGCCCAGAGGAUCUCAGUCAGAGGCCCCAUUUCAGACCCCAGGCUAGCAUGGGCUGCAGGCUGCUCUGCUGUGCACUGCUCUGCCUCCUGAGAGCAGUCCACAUGGACACCGGAGUUACCCAGACACCAAAACACCUGGUCAUGGGAAGGACGAAUAAGAAGUCUUUGAAAUGUGAACAACACCUGAGGCACAAUGCUAUGUACUGGUACAAACAGAAAGCUAAGACGCCACUGGAGCUCAUGUUCAUCUACGGAUUUCAAAAACAAACUGAAAACAAUAGUGUGCCCAGUCGCUUCUCACCUGAAUGCCCCAACAGCUCUCACUUAUACCUUCACCUACACGCCCUGCAGCCAGAAGACUCGGCCCUGUAUCUCUGUGCCAGCAGCCAAGACACAGCCUUGCAGAGUCACCGUCUCCCUGUGCAGAAACCUUAG